GACGAACGCUGGCGGCGUGCUUAACACAUGCAAGUCGAACGGAAAGGCCCUGCUUUUGUGGGGUGCUCGAGUGGCGAACGGGUGAGUAACACGUGAGUAACCUGCCCUUGACUUUGGGAUAACUUCAGGAAACUGGGGCUAAUACCGGAUAGGAGCUCCUGCUGCAUGGUGGGGGUUGGAAAGUUUCGGCGGUUGGGGAUGGACUCGCGGCUUAUCAGCUUGUUGGUGGGGUAGUGGCUUACCAAGGCUUUGACGGGUAGCCGGCCUGAGCGGGUGACCGGCCACGUUGGGACUGAGAUACGGCCCAGACUGCUACGGGAGGCAGCAGUGGGGAAUAUUGCACAAUGGGCGGAAGCCUGAUGCAGCGACGCCGCGUGCGGGAUGACGGCCUUCGGGUUGUAAACCGCUUUCGCCUGUGACGAAGCGUGAGUGACGGUAAUGGGUAAAGAAGCACCGGCUAACUACGUG
rnacentral:rRNA from 1 species